GUAGGUGGCAAGCGUUGUCCGGAAUUAUUGGGCGUAAAGCGCGCGCAGGCGGUUCUUUAAGUCUGAUGUGAAAGCCCACGGCUCAACCGUGGAGGGUCAUUGGAAACUGGAGGACUUGAGUACAGAAGAGGAAAGCGGGAUUCCACGUGUAGCGGUGAAAUGCGUAGAGAUGUGGAGGAACACCAGUGGCGAAGGCGGCUUUCUGGUCUGUAACUGACGCUGAGGCGCGAAAGCGUGGGGAGCAAACAGGGAUUAGAUACCCUGGUAGUCCACGCCGUAAACGAUGAGUGCUAAGUGUUAGGGGGUUUCCCGCCCCCUUAGUGCUGCAGCUAACGCAUUAAGCACUCCGCCUGGGGAGUACGGCCGCAAGGCUG
rnacentral:rRNA from 1 species